rnacentral:rRNA from 1 species
CAUUCCACACCUAAAAAACUUUCCACGUGAACCGUUUCAAACCUUUUAGUUGGGGGUGUUACUUGGCAUUUUGCUGAGCCGCGCCCUAUCAAGGCGAACGUUUGGGCUUCGGCCUGGGCUAGUAGUUUUUUCUUUCAAACCCUUUAACAAUACUGAUUAUACUGUGGGGACGAAAGUCUCUGCUUUUAACUAGAUAGCAACUUUCAGCAGUGGAUGUCUAGGCUCGCACAUCGAUGAAGAACGCUGCGAACUGCGAUACGUAAUGCGAAUUGCAGGAUUCAGUGAGUCAUCGAAAUUUUGAACGCAUAUUGCACUUCCGGGUUAGUCCUGGAAGUAUGCCUGUAUCAGUGUCCGUACAUCAAACUUGACUUUCUUCCUUCCGUGUAGUCGGUGGAGGAGAUGCCAGAUGUGAAGUGUCUUGCGGUUGGUGUGCCUUCGGGCCGAGGCUGCGAGUCCUUUUAAAUGAACUGAACUGUACUUCUCUUUGCUCGAAAAGCGUGGUGAUGCUGGUUGUGGAGGCUGCCUGCGUGGCCAGUCGGCGACCGGUUUGUCUGCUGCGGCGUUUAAUGGAGGAGUGUUCGAUUCGCGGUAUGGUUGGCUUCGGCUGAACAGACGCUUAUUGUAUGCUUUUCCUGCUGUGGCGUGAUGGGCUGGUGAACCGUAGCUGUGUGUGGCUUGGCUUUUGAAUCGGCUUUGCUGUUGCGAAGUAGAGUGGCGGCUUCGGCUGUCGAGUGUCGAUCCAUUUUGGGAACUUUUGUGUGCGCUUUCGAGUGUGCAUCUCAAUUGGACCUGAUAUCAG